rnacentral:tRNA from 1 species
GCGCGAGUAGUAGAGUGGUACUACGUCGCCUUGCCAAGGCGAAGAUCGCGGGUUCGAUCCCCGUCUCGCGCUCGA